CCUACGGGAGGCUGCAGUGGGGAAUAUUGCACAAUGGGGGAAACCCUGAUGCAGCAACGCCGCGUGAGUGAAGAAGUAUUUCGGUAUGUAAAGCUCUAUCAGCAGGGAAGAGAAUGACGGUACCUGACUAAUAAGCCCCGGCUAACUACGUGCCAGCAGCCGCGGUAAUACGUAGGGGGCGAGCGUUAUCCGGAUUUACUGGGUGUAAAGGGAGCGUAGACGGGUCUGCAAGUCUGAAGUGAAAGCCCAGGGCUUAACCGCGGAACGGCUUUUGAAACUGUGGAACUGGAGUGCUGGAGAGGCAAGCGGAAUUCCGAGUGUAGCGGUGAAAUGCGUAGAUAUUAGGAGGAACACCAGUGGCGAAGGCGGAUUGCUGGACAGUAACUGACGUUGAGGCUCGAAAGCGUGGGGAGCAAACAGGAUUAGAUACCCUUGUAGUC
rnacentral:rRNA from 1 species